rnacentral:rRNA from 1 species
UACGGAGGGGACUAGCGUUGUUCGGAAUUACUGGGCGUAAAGCGCACGUAGGCGGAUUUGUAAGUCAGGGGUGAAAUCCCAAGGCUCAACCUUGGAACUGCCUUUGAUACUGGGGAUCUCGAGUCCGGAAGAGGUGAGUGGAACUGCGAGUGUAGAGGUGAAAUUCGUAGAUAUUCGCAAGAACACCAGUGGCGAAGGCGGCUCACUGGUCCGGUACUGACGCUGAGGUGCGAAAGCGUGGGGAGCAAACAGGG